rnacentral:rRNA from 1 species
UGGGGAAUAUUGCACAAUGGGCGCAAGCCUGAUGCAGCCAUGCCGCGUGUAUGAAGAAGGCCUUCGGGUUGUAAAGUACUUUCAGUCGGGAGGAAGGUGGUAAGGUUAAUAACCUUAUCAAUUGACGUUACCGACAGAAGAAGCACCGGCUAACUCCGUGCCAGCAGCCGCGGUAAUACGGAGGGUGCAAGCGUUAAUCGGAAUUACUGGGAGUAAAGCGCACGCAGGCGGUUGAUUGAGUCAGAUGUGAAAUCCCCGGGCUUAACCCGGGAAUUGCAUCUGAUACUGGUCAGCUAGAGUCUUGUAGAGGGGGGUAGAAUUCCAUGUGUAGCGGUGAAAUGCGUAGAGAUGUGGAGGAAUACCGGUGGCGAAGGCGGCCCCCUGGACAAAGACUGACGCUCAGGUGCGAAAGCGUGGGGAGCAAACAGG